CUAACGCUGGCGGCAGGCUUAACACAUGCAAGUCGAGCGGGGGAAGGUAGCUUGCUACCGCGACUAGCGGCGGACGGGUGAGUAAUGCUUUAGGAAUCUGCCUAUUAAGGGGGGGGACACCUUCCCCAAAGGGGAUGCCCAUACCCGGAUAAUUCUAACGGGGAAAAAAGAAGGGGAUCUUCUGGGCCUUUUGCCCAUAAAAAUGGGGCCCAAAAGGCCCCCUUUACCCAAUUUGGGGGGGGAAAAGGCCNCC
rnacentral:rRNA from 1 species